CCUGGCUCAGAUUGAACGCUGGCGGCAGGCCUAACACAUGCAAGUCGAGCGGGAACUUCGGUUCUAGCGGCGGACGGGUGAGUAAUGCGUAGGAAGCUACCCGAUAGAGGGGGAUACCAGUUGGAAACGACUGUUAAUACCGCAUAAUGUCUACGGACCAAAGUGUGGGACCUUCGGGCCACAUGCUAUCGGAUGCGCCUACGUGGGAUUAGCUAGUUGGUGAGGUAAUGGCUCACCAAGGCGACGAUCCCUAGCUGGUUUGAGAGGAUGAUCAGCCACACUGGAACUGAGACACGGUCCAGACUCCUACGGGAGGCAGCAGUGGGGAAUAUUGGACAAUGGGCGCAAGCCUGAUCCAGCCAUGCCGCGUGUGUGAAGAAGGCCUUCGGGUUGUAAAGCACUUUCAGCGAGGAGGAA
rnacentral:rRNA from 1 species